rnacentral:rRNA from 1 species
UACGGGGGGGGCAAGCGUUGUUCGGAAUUACUGGGCGUAAAGGGCUCGUAGGUGGCCAACUAAGUCAGACGUGAAAUCCCUCAGCUUAACUGGGGAACUGCGUCUGAUACUGGAUGGCUUGAGUUUGGGAGAGGGAUGCGGAAUUCCAGGUGUAGCGGUGAAAUGCGUAGAUAUCUGGAGGAACACCGGUGGCGAAGGCGGCAUCCUGGACCAACACUGGCACUGAGGAGCGAAAGCCAGGGGAGCAAACGGG